rnacentral:rRNA from 1 species
AGAGUUCGAUCCUGGCUCAGGAUGAACGCUGGCGGCGCGCCUAACACAUGCAAGUCGAACGGCACCCCUCUCCGGAGGGAAGCGAGUGGCGAACGGCUGAGUAACACGUGGAGAACCUGCCCCCUCCCCCGGGAUAGCCGCCCGAAAGGACGGGUAAUACCGGAUACCCCGGGGUGCCGCAUGGCACCCCGGCUAAAGCCCCGACGGGAGGGGAUGGCUCCGCGGCCCAUCAGGUAGACGGCGGGGUGACGGCCCACCGUGCCGACAACGGGUAGCCGGGUUGAGAGACCGACCGGCCAGAUUGGGACUGAGACACGGCCCAGACUCCUACGGGAGGCAGCAGUGGGGAAUCUUGCGCAAUGGGGGGAACCCUGACGCAGCGACGCCGCGUGCGGGACGGAGGCCUUCGGGUCGUAAACCGCUUUCAGCAGGGAAGAGUCAAGACUGUACCUGCAGAAGAAGCCCCGGCUAACUACGUGCCAGCAGCCGCGGUAAUACGUAGGGGGCGAGCGUUAUCCGGAUUCAUUGGGCGUAAAGCGCGCGUAGGCGGCCCGGCAGGCCGGGGGUCGAAGCGGGGGGCUCAACCCCCCGAAGCCCCCGGAACCUCCGCGGCUUGGGUCCGGUAGGGGAGGGUGGAACACCCGGUGUAGCGGUGGAAUGCGCAGAUAUCGGGUGGAACACCGGUGGCGAAGGCGGCCCUCUGGGCCGAGACCGACGCUGAGGCGCGAAAGCUGGGGGAGCGAACAGGAUUAGAUACCCUGGUAGUCCCAGCCGUAAACGAUGGACGCUAGGUGUGGGGGGACGAUCCCCCCGUGCCGCAGCCAACGCAUUAAGCGUCCCGCCUGGGGAGUACGGCCGCAAGGCUAAAACUCAAAGGAAUUGACGGGGGCCCGCACAAGCAGCGGAGCAUGUGGCUUAAUUCGAAGCAACGCGAAGAACCUUACCAGGGCUUGACAU